rnacentral:ncRNA from 2 species
AAUAACUAUCGGGAUACAGGUGCAAAAGCAGUGCUUUUAACAAAAGGCUGCCAAGCCUAACAAGGAAUCAGGUGCGAAUCCUGAGCAAGGCCGUUGCCGUAUUUUGUCUUAACGCAUACAUGACGUGAGUCAGUCACUGGAGAGUUUCUUCGGGAAGGCGUAUGCGAGCCGUUCUGGCGGGCAAUAAGUCGGAAUACUUGCCUGUAUCCUCCCCGUGCA